rnacentral:tRNA from 1 species
AGGGAUGUAGCUCAGUAGUAGAGCGCUUGCUUAGCAUGCGUGAGGCCCUGGGUUUAAUCUCCAGCACCACAA